UGGGGCGUCGCCAAGUCCGGUCAAGGCACGGGAUUUUGAUUCCCGCAUACGCAGGUUCGAAUCCUGCCGCCCCAGCCA
rnacentral:tRNA from 1 species